rnacentral:rRNA from 2 species
UGUCGUCAGCUCGUGUUGUGAAAUGUUGGGUUAAGUCCCGCAACGAGCGCAACCCUUAUCCUUUGUUGCCAGCGGUCCGGCCGGGAACUCAAAGGAGACUGCCAGUGAUAAACUGGAGGAAGGUGGGGAUGACGUCAAGUCAUCAUGGCCCUUACGACCAGGGCUACACACGUGCUACAAUGGCGCAUACAAAGAGAAGCGACCUCGCGAGAGCAAGCGGACCUCAUAAAGUGCGUCGUAGUCCGGAUUGGAGUCUGCAACUCGACUCCAUGAAGUCGGAAUCGCUAGUAAUCGUGGAUCAGAAUGCCACGGUGAAUACGUUCCCGGGCCUUGUACACACCG